rnacentral:hammerhead_ribozyme from 1 species
AUCUAACUGACGAGUCCCCAAAUAAGACGAAACGCGAGUCCUAAAU